rnacentral:rRNA from 1 species
GACGAACGCUGGCGGCGUGCUUAACACAUGCAAGUCGAACGGAAAGGCCCUGCUUUUGUGGGGUGCUCGAGUGGCGAACGGGUGAGUAACACGUGAGUAACCUGCCCUUGACUUUGGGAUAACUUCAGGAAACUGGGGCUAAUACCGGAUAGGAGCUCCUGCUGCAUGGUGGGGGUUGGAAAGUUUCGGCGGUUGGGGAUGGACUCGCGGCUUAUCAGCUUGUUGGUGGGGUAGUGGCUUACCAGGGCUUUGACGGGUAGCCGGCCUGAGAGGGUGACCGGCCACAUUGGGACUGAGAUACGGCCCAGACUCCUACGGGAGGCAGCAGUGGGGAAUAUUGCACAAUGGGCGGAAGCCUGAUGCAGCAACGCCGCGUGCGGGAUGACGGCCUUCGGGUUGUAAACCGCUUUCGCCUGUGACGAAGCGUGAGUGACGGUAAUGGGUAAAGAAGCACCGGCUAACUACGUGCCAGCAGCCGCGGUGAUACGUAGGGUGCGAGCGUUGUCCGGAUUUAUUGGGCGUAAAGGGCUCGUAGGUGGUUGAUCGCGUCGGAAGUGUAAUCUUGGGGCUUAACCCUGAGCGUGCUUUCGAUACGGGUUGACUUGAGGAAGGUAGGGGAGAAUGGAAUUCCUGGUGGAGCGGUGGAAUGCGCAGAUAUCAGGAGGAACACCAGUGGCGAAGGCGGUUCUCUGGGCCUUUCCUGACGCUGAGGAGCGAAAGCGUGGGGAGCGAACAGGCUUAGAUACCCUGGUAGUCCACGCUGUAAACGGUGGGUACUAGGUGUGGGGUCCAUUCCACGGGUUCCGUGCCGUAGCUAACGCUUUAAGUACCCCGCCUGGGGAGUACGGCCGCAAGGCUAAAACUCAAAGGAAUUGACGGGGCCCCGCACAAGCGGCGGAGCAUGCGGAUUAAUUCGAUGCAACGCGUAGAACCUUACCUGGGUUUGACAUGGAUCGGGAGUGCUCAGAGAUGGGUGUGCCUCUUUUGGGGUCGGUUCACAGGUGGUGCAUGCCUGUCGUCAGCUCGUGUCGUGAGAUGUUGGGUUAAGUCCCGCAACGAGCGCAACCCUUGUUCACUGUUGCCAGCACGUUAUGGUGGGGACUCAGUGGAGACCGCCGGGGUCAACUCGGAGGAAGGUGGGGAUGACGUCAAGUCCUCAUGCCCCUUAUGUCCAGGGCUUCACGCAUGCUACAAUGGCUGGUACAGAGAGUGGCGAGCCUGUGAGGGUGAGCGAAUCUCGGAAAGCCGGUCUCAGUUCGGAUUGGGGUCUGCAACUCGACCUCAUGAAGUCGGAGUCGCUAGUAAUCGCAGAUCAGCAACGCUGCGGUGAAUACGUUCCCGGG